UGACCACGAGACCGAUAGCAAAUAAGUACCGUGAGGGAAAGUCGAAAAGAACUUUGAAGAGAGAGUUCAAGAGUACGUGAAACCGUUCAAGGGUAAAUUUGAGAAAACCGAAAGAUCGAAGGGAAAGAUGCAAUGUUAUCGUUGCCUUCCAUUUAUUGGCGUGCGAUUGACCGGGAAUACGCCGUUGGUUUAUGCGUUAGGCGGCGUUGGCAUGCACUUCUCUCUCAGUAGGACGUCGCGACCCGUUUGGUGUCGAUCUACGACCGCGGCGGUAGCCUGUCACGCAUUUAUUCGCGCCAGACCCCGUGUGCUCCGGUCGACUGCCAGACAGUAUAAACGAUAUGGUAUAGGGUCGCUUUUAAGCGUUCGGCCGGUUGCAAGCACGGACGGUAAUUGGCCGUCGGACCUAGUCCGGCAUCGAUGCCGCCUCGAGCUGUUAGCUACCGUGUUCUCGGACGGACUCUAUUACCGGUCAGCGAUGCUAUUGCUUUGGGUACUUUCAGGACCCGUCUUGAAACACGGACCAAGGUGUCUAGCAUGUGCGCGAGUCAUUGGGAAAUACAAAACCUAAAGGCGCAAUGAACGUAAAGGUUUGCUUAAGUAAACUGAGGGAUAACGGACCGCAUCUAUGGAUGCGUGCUUGCAAUCCCGAGGCGUCUUACUCUCAUUGCGAGAAGAGACGCACUCAUAGCGUACACGCUAGGACCCGAAAGAUGGUGAACUAUGCCCGGUCAGGUCCAAGUCAGGGGAAACCCUCAUAGAGGACCGUAGUGAUUCUGACGUGCAAAUCGAUCGUCGAAACUGGAUAUAGGGGCAAAAGACUAAUAGAACCAUCUAGUAGCUGGUUCCCUCCGAAGUUUUCCUCAGGAUAGCUGGCAUUCGAUGAACGAGUCUCAUCCGGUAAAGCGAAUGAUUAGAGGCCUUGGGGCCGAAACGACCUCAACCUAUUCUCAAACUUUAAUUGGGUGAGAUCUCUGGCUUGCUUGAAGAGUGAAGUCAGAGAUUUGGAUCAGAGUGCCUAGUAGGCCACUUUCGGUAAGCAGAACUGGCGCUGUGAGAUGAACCAAACGCCGAGUUAAGGCGCCUAAACAACGCUAAUGGCAUACCAUGAAAGGCGUUGGUUGCUUAAGACAGCAGGACGGUGGCCAUGAAGGUUGGAAUCUACUAAGGAGUGUGUAACAACUCACCUGCCGAAGCAACUAGCCCUGAAAAUGGAUGGCGCUGAAGCGUCGUGCCUAUACUCGGCCGCCAGGGUAUGAGAAACGUUCAUAAUAGUUUGUUUUGACGUUCUGGUGAGUAGGAGGGUCGCGGUUGAGUGCGCAGAAGGGUUUGGGCGUGAGCCUGCCUGGAGCCGCCAUCGGUGCAGAUCUUGGUGGUAGUAGCAAAUACUCCAGCGAGGCCCUGGAGGACUGACGUGGAGAAGGGUUUCGUGUGAACAGCCGUUGCACACGAGUCAGUCGAUCCUAAGUCCCAGGAGAAAUCCUAUGUUGAUGUUGGUGUAUUUUAUUUUGAAUAAAAUUUCGGGCCCUCGCAAGAGAGUUCGUCGGGGUAACCCAAAAUGACCUGGAGACGCCGUCGGGUUAUACGGAGAGAGUUUUCUUUUCUGUAUGAGCGUUCGAGUUUCCUGGAAUCUUUUAGAAGAGAGAUAGGGUUUGGAACGCGAAGAGCACCGCUGUUGCGGCGGUGUCCGUAUCUUCACCUCGGACCUUGAAAAUUCAGGAGAAGCCACGGUAGGCGUCGCGCCGGUUCGUACCCAUAUCCGCAGCAGGUCUCCAAGGUGAAGAGCCACUAGUCGAUAGAUAAAUGUAGGUAAGGGAAGUCGGCAAAUUGGAUCCGUAACUUCGGGAUAAGAAUUGGCUCUGAGAAUCGGGACGUGCCGGCCUUGGUUGGAAAGCGGGCGUAGGCCAAUGUGCCGAGCCUGGGCGAGGUGAAAUUGUCCUUGUGACUUAGAUCCGAGCUCGGACCCGUGUCUAGGCCCAUCGCGGAUCUUUCUUGCUGCGAGGUUUCUGUGCCGGCUUCGGUCGGUCAGUCGUACUCUUCGGCCGCCAUUCAACGGUCAGCUCAGAACUGGCACGGACUAGGGGAAUCCGACUGUCUAAUUAAAACAAAGCAUUGCGAUGGCCCUAGCGGGUGUUGACGCAAUGUGAUUUCUGCCCAGUGCUCUGAAUGGCAACGUGAAGAAAUUCAAGCAAGCGCGUGUAAACGGCGGGUGUAACUAUGACUCUCUUUGGUGGGAGAAGCUGCGAUUUCAUUGAAGCCAAGGUCGAGCACGUGGCCUCCCCGAGGUCGGUUGCGUAGGAGACUGUGGUUUCUUUGAAACCGCAGUCAAGCACGUGGCCCCCUUCGCGUGGGUCCCACUGUUAGUACCCCCCGGCGGAAACUAAGAGCUACCGCUGCGCCUAUGGACCUGGGGGCUUCCAACCCUCUCGUUCCUUAACUACAGUCGGUCCUAACUAUACAAACUUAGCCUCGGAUGAACGUAAUAAUUCGGGUAGGCCCACUGGCUUACCCACACUGACUGUAUCUGCGAGUCAUUUGUGCCGCUUUCCACAUUGCGGAAAAUCCUUCCAAACCAUAAUUGUCCGUGGAGUGCAUGAACAGAAAAUACACAAGGAUUGGU
rnacentral:rRNA from 1 species